AUACGUAGGGGGCGAGCGUUGUCCGGAAUGAUUGGGCGUAAAGGGCGCGUAGGCGGCCCGGUAAGUCUGGAGUGAAAGUCCUGUUUUUAAGAUGGGAAUUGCUUUGGAUACUGUCGGGCUUGAGUGCAGGAGAGGUAAGUGGAAUUCCCAGUGUAGCGGUGAAAUGCGUAGAGAUUGGGAGGAACACCAGUGGCGAAGGCGACUUACUGGACUGUAACUGACGCUGAGGCGCGAAAGUGUGGGGAGCAAACAGGAUUAGAUACCCUGGUAGUCCACACUGUAAACGAUGAAUGCUAGGUGUAGGGGGUAUCGACCCCUUCUGUGCCGCAGUCAACACAAUAAGCAUUCCGCCUGGGGAGUACGGCUGCAAGGUUGAAACUCAAAGGAAUUGACGGGG
rnacentral:rRNA from 1 species